rnacentral:sRNA from 1 species
GUUGUGUUUCAGUAAAACAAUGAAAUUUAUCUCAAGUUAUGUCAUGACGUAUUUUUUUUUCUACAUUUGACAAGAACAGCGUUUAUUGCUCUCUUAGUUAUGUAGAGUUAUCUUUCUUGGGUCGUAAAGCAUCAUUCUGUCUCUCCAGGGAAUCUGACAUGUACCCAUGUACAUCUUCCCCCUCAAGAUCUUAUGGCGAUUUUGAGGAAGAAUGGAUCAAACUAGGAGAGGAGUCGUAUGUAGGGAUCUUUGAGUCAGGAAAUUCUCCAGAUGACCCUUACGAGCCCAAAGUUAAAACUGGAGUAAAAAGGAAAAUAAGUGAGUCUGAAGACUCGCUUAUUCUGACCCGGAGAAAAAUGAGCAAAACCACAGAAGAAAAUGACGAUGUGUUCCCUUUUAAAAACCAAGAAAUUGAGAAAGAAGACAUCGUUUUAACGAAAUUUAGGAGGGACAACCCAACAAAAUAUAAAGCCUUGGAAGGCAGAUUUUUGGGAAAUAGCCCCGCAUCUCCCAUCUCUAUUGCAUCCAGCCCCCCUGCAUCGCCCAAAAACUGCAACAUGCCAUCCAACCCACCCUUGCCAAUCUAUAGCCCAUCAUCGCCCAGCGACGUGUCAUCCAACACUGCAUUGCAAAUCAGCGUACCAGAAUUGAACUCGAUCUCUAACCUUCCAACACCUGAUCACAACUUAACACCAUCCAGAAAUACAACAGUGCCCCAAACAACUCCCGCGCAAACCUCUGGGCAGUAUCCACUCAGGGCGGAGCUAAGCGCUCUCUGCGAACUCGUGGAUUCAGUUCGUGUGGACCUUUUACAAACCUCGAUGAUUGUUAACUACAUUCAGGAUUAUUUGAAAUCUUAUAAUUAAAAUGUUCAAAAAGUGAAGCUUCCUAGCUCUAAGUGAACUAUUUUAU